AUUGCUGAUUUGGUAACCACCUCAGAGAACAUCCUAUUUAUUUCCAGCAAGGACCUAAAUCCACUUCAGCCAAAAAUGAACAAAGAAAUCAUGAUGAAGAACAGAGCCUGUUUCUUUCUCAGUGGUGUGCUCAGAAAAUAGGAUACGAAGUAGAAGAUGAUCCUCGAGGCUCGUGAAGGUGGGUGCUUUCUGAAAGUGAAGUCAGCAGCCAAGAACCACCCUUCAGAAGAUAAAAGAACGAGCAGCUACGUGAGUGACGGUCACAGCAACACGUGGGUCCUGUCUGUCCACGCAGUCCUCCCCGUCCUCCUGUAGCUUGCCAGGUUUCCUGCCCACACUGGGGAAAUUCCAGCUGCCAGCCCUCUUUGGGGUGUAUCUCCCCUUUUUGCACAGGGCUCUAUUGGGAAGGCAGCUGUCUUGUGUCUGUUUGAAAGACAAGAAAUCAACCUAGUUAUAGAAAUGAGAUUUAGAUUACAUCAGAAAAACAAUGCAAAUCAUUUGUUUGUGCAGUUCUUAGUACAGAAAACAGAUUUAGAAACACAAAUUGAGAGGGUUAAAGAAAGUGUUUUUUUCUUUUGUCAUCAAAGUUGGUUUUUAAAAACAUGUCACAAAACGAAAACACAUCUGUAGUCAGAUAAAUACUUGUGUGCUGACUUCAUCAACAGAAUGGAUGACUGAAUUCACACAAUGUUAUUUACUGUUUCAGGGCACACAUUCGUGGUUGCCAAGUGGUCUCUUGCCACUUUGGCCUUCAGCUGGUCUUGCUAUUUUCCAUUGUGGAGUGUCUGAUUGUCUCCACCACAACCCUGAGUCUAAGCAAAAGCCCAUGGGUCGGCUGCCCUGUGUUCCUGUUGUCCCUGGGAGUGGAUAGACUGGCAGAUGUUGGGGGAGCGGGGAAAAUGCUCAUAAACACUUUAUUUGUUGUAAUAACUCCAGUUGGGAUGUGGCUUCCAAUCAUGAGAGAAGGACUGCUUUAGAAAAGGAAUCUUUUUAUAAUAAUACCAAUAAAACAAAGACUGUUAUUCUGAACAGUUAACAAGAAACACAGCUGGAGCUAUUUCCUAUCCACCUGAUGAAGGGCACUACCAGGCGGUCACUCUGGCUCUGUCCAUCGAAGCCUGUGCCCACUUGGUGCAAUGUAGCUUCCAUGGAGACAAGAGCAAUGGUAAUGGAAGAAGAAAGUCUGGAUGUACUCAUGCAGAAAGAGAAAGCUUCAUGGAGCAAUAUUAAUCUUCUGGUCAUCUCUGUGCCAGUCUAGUGGACCAUAGAGUUGUCGGAUUGACUUUGGUUUCCAAGGAAGUCUACUGACAUGAGACCCAGGGAAGAUAGUUUUUGGAAGGGGCAAGG